rnacentral:misc_RNA from 1 species
AGAGAGAGAGAGAGAGAGAUAAGAGAGAGCUUGAAGGCGUAGUUUGACCUUAUGAGCCGUGAUAAGAUAAUACAAAGAUGCCUGGUGGAUUGGGGUGUUGGGUGAUACUUAUAGCACUAUUGAAAUUAGUGGGGCUGAGGUUGCGAUGAUGGAUAUGGGCGUUGUCGAGAAUUUGAAGAUGCGUAAAUGUGUCUAUGACUUUUGAGGGUACAUACGUGACACGCCUACAUUGGGGAAUAUAGCGCAAAGUCAAAAUGGUAGGUCGGGGUUAUGAUUGUUCCCCACUCUUAUUAUUAUUAUUAUUAUUA